CCUACGGGUGACAGCAGUGAGGAAUAUUGGUCAAUGGGCGCGAGCCUGAACCAGCCAAGUCGCGUGCAGGAUGACGGCCCUACGGGUUGUAAACUUCUUUUGUACGGGAGUAAAGCGCCUUACGCGUGGCGCUCUGCGAGUACCGGAAGAAUAAGCAUCGGCUAAUUCCGUGCCAGCAGCCGCGGUAAUACGGAGGCUGCGGGCGUUAUCCGGAUUUAUUGGGUUUAAGGGGUGGGCAGGCGGAAGACCAAGUCAGCGGUAAAAUUGCGGGGCUCAACCCCUGCGAGCCGUGGGAACUGGUGUUCUUGAGUGAGCGGAAAGUAUGCGGAAUGCGUGGUGUAGCGGUGAAAUGCUUAGAUAUGACGAAGAACUCCGAUUGCGAAGGCAGCUUGCCGGCGCUCAACUGACGCUCAUGCUCGAAAGUGUGGGUAUCGAACAGGAUUAGAUACCCUAGUAGUC
rnacentral:rRNA from 1 species